UGGGGAAUUUUGCACAAUGGGGGAAACCCUGAUGCAGCGACGCCGCGUGAUUUAGAAGGCCUUCGGGUUGUAAAAAUCUUUUCUAUGGGAAGAAAAUGACAGUACCAUAGGAAUAAGGACCGGCUAAUUACGUGCCAGCAGCCGCGGUAAUACGUAAGGACCGAGCGUUGUACGGAAUCAUUGGGCGUAAAGGGUACGUAGGCGGGUAAGCAAGUUAGAAGUGAAAUCCUAUAGCUCAAGUAUAGUAAGCUUUUAAAACUGCUCAGCUUGAGGUAUGGAAGGGAAAGUGGAAUUCCUAGUGUAGCGGUGAAAUGCGCAGAUAUUAGGAGGAAUACCGGUGGCGAAGGCGACUUUCUGGCCAUAACCUGACGCUGAGGUACGAAAGCGUGGGUAGCAAACAGG
rnacentral:rRNA from 1 species